rnacentral:rRNA from 1 species
UACGAAGGGGGCUAGCGUUGCUCGGAAUCACUGGGCGUAAAGCGCACGUAGGCGGAUUCCUAAGUCGGUGGUGAAAUCCUGGAGCUCAACUCCAGAACUGCCUCCGAUACUGAGAGUCUCCGAGUCCGGGAGAGGUGAGUGGAAUUCCGAGUGUAGAGGUGAAAUUCGUAGAUAUUCGGAGGAACACCAGUGGCGAAGGCGGCUCACUGGUCCAUUACUGACGCUGAGGUGCGAAAGCGUGGGGAGCAAACAGG